rnacentral:lncRNA from 1 species
UUCCCGCGUCGAGAAUCUGAAAUCGAAUCGAAACUUCGAAAGCUAUCAUAUUUAUUGUGUUGUGGUGGUGUUGGACACCUGCAUUCCUGUUGGUAUUUGGUAAUAACCGAAGAAAAGAAACUCGAGAUUGCUUGAUCUUCGUAUGACGGUUUUAUGCAGUAUUUCUUAUUUAGACUGAUGUAAAAUAGAGAGGACACCGACAGUAAUUUUAAUUCUAUAAGAUUCAAUUCUGUUGGACACAAAGUGCAUUACCAAAUUAAUUUUAGUUGAAUGAAUUGAAUUUUUUAAUGAGGAAAUUGGUGGCUCAUAACUACAACUAUUACCUUGAAUCCCCAACAACUGUGACAGAAUCAGUAUAUUUUUAUGCACAUCCACUGCUUCAUGACAAUGUGUUACCAUAAUUAUUGCUCAUUUUUUUCUCUUAACUACAAAAUUCUUAAUUUUUUAAUUAACAGAUUAGCAAGAACCAAUAAAUAUAGAAUGUUUUACAUCAAAUAUAAAUGCAAAUAUUUCAAAAAGGAUGUUAAACCUGUCCAACCUGACUGGGAAUGCAUAUAGCAUACUUCAGUUUUAUUCAAUCUCGAGAGGCCUAUAGGUCUGAACUCCAUUUCAGAUUUACCCAUCCUGCAACUGAAUAACAACUAACAGGCAAUGAUACAGUAAUAAGGCUAUCAAUCACUGGGAGUUCAGAUUGCAAAAUGGAACUUUUUUGUACAGAUGUUGAAACCGAAUUAAUGCUGGUAUCACGUCGCCUUUCUACAACCGGCACGAUGACCAGCAUUACUUUGAUAGACUAAGUCGUUUACGAAGUUAAAAAAAAAAACUACUUCGGCGAAAGUACCAACGAUCACCAAACAGAAAGAACGACUCACGAAUUAAUGCAAUUUAUCAUGGCAUUGAUGUCGGUCUUUGAGGAACGACAACCGGUAGCAGCAACAGCGGCCCGAUCCUUAAAAGUGUUCUCCAGGUCAACUGCAACUGCCGUCAACUUAUUUGCCCGCUAAGUGCCGCCGAUUAUUUGUUUGGCCGUUUGCAUCGCAUCGGACUUGAACAUCACCGCAAUGAACCGAAACAAGGGUGCUUUUUUUCUUGCCGAAGAUAUCCUACCGGGAAAUAAGGAGUGUUUUAUCAGAGCGGUCCUAGUUCGUUCCCAGUCAAUCCAGUUGAACAAAUUGCGUUGCAACCGACAACUUGUGGUUAUUCCGUGGAAGUGGUUAUUCUGAUUUGGAAUUCGAUAAAGUGCCGUCGAGUUUGAUCAAAUCAUUCGUUUCGGCUGAAGAAGAUCUCGGUUCCUGAUCUCGGAUGACCUGGAUCAGCUCGCGUAUUUCGUCCAGGAGCUACACGCCUGCCUGAACAGGCUAUAAAAUUGCAUCCUUCAAGCGAGCCUUCAAGUUGUUCUGCCGAACUUGACUGCUGUCUAGCAAAUAAUGUUUGUUCAUUCAGUUACUCCGCUGCCAUUGCCACAUCAUAGCAACCCAAACAAGAAACGGAAAUAUUUAACCAGAAAUUACUCCACAGACCACAUCCUUUGAAGGCUAUCGAUUGCCAAUGGGAUACAUCUAAGGAGUGUGCACACGUAUUAAAGGAUCACGUUGCCGUUUCAGUUAGACACUUCGACAAUUGCACCAGUACGCCCUCCUAAUACUGAACACUGAAGCACCAAAAUUAAAUUUUUUCGAUUAUUUCUUUACGAUUGUAGAAUGGAGAAAAUGAUUAAAGUAUUGAUUUCGGUAUUCGUCGUAGCAGUCUUACUUGAAACAACAUUGGCCUGUGAGUGCGAUUACAACGUCGUUUACGAGGGUCACAACGGUAACAACCGCGGCAGCGGCUGCUAUAUGGUGAGGCCAGCAAGUCAAGGCAUGGCUUGUCAGUGCCGUCCUGUCGGAUAUGCCUUCAUAUGCAAAGGUCAUCAAGUUGGUUGCCAGAACCCCAAUCACUAUCUGUGUCGUUAUCCCGAUACGUCAAAAGAGGCAUGCAUUUUCGCCAAUGGAGACUGCGGUGGUUAUUAAUCCACCUUAUAAUUCGACUAAUUUGCGAGCGUUGUGAUCAUUUCGAAUUUUUAUUACCACAUUAAUCAACUUAUCCACACACACUGAUUAGAAAAUAGAUACUCUCAGCAGUCAAAUUUUUCAUUUGGUCAUAAUCUUUCUGUCCCAAUAUACAACAAACAUUAGUUCACUU